AGGAGAACCACACCCUUCUCAUGGCUCUGUCCACAUGGCUUCACCCACCUGGGAAUUUGCAUAUUGUCCCCUAGGGAGGAUCCUUCCUUGCAGGUCUGAGGUAAAAGGUCAGCUCAAACAUUGCUUGGACUUACCAAGCCUCAUCUGUUCAACUGCUCAGAAUGAGAUUUCCUGCUCAGCUCCUGGGGCUGCUGAUGCUCUGGGUCCCAGGAUCCAGUGGGGAGAUCGUGCUGACACAGACCCCAUUCUCGCUGUCUGUCACCCCUGGAGAGCCAGCCUCCAUCUCCUGCAGAGCCAGUAAGAGCCUCCUGAACAGUAAUGGAAUGAACUAUUUGCAUUGGUACCUGUAGAAGCCAGGCCAGUCUCCACAGAUCCUGAUCUACUUGGCCUCCAACCGUUACCCUGGGGUCCCAUAUAGGUUCAGUGGUAGCGGGUCAGGGACAGAUUUCACCCUGACAAUCAGCAGGGUGGAGGCUGAUGAUGUGGGAAUUUAUUACUGCCUGCAAAGUUUAGAAUUUCCUCCAACAGUGGUUCAGCCCCGAACACAAACCUCCUGCUUGGGGUGGCCCAGCUGCCCACAUGAGAUGUUGGUCUGAAGAGCAGCCAUAGCAGAUUCUCUGUGUCUGUGCAAGAGAACCAUGUUGGAGACUCAGGAGAGCAGGUGUAUGUGUAUGAGGAUGAGCACUUCACCUCCACAUCAGGCAUCAUGUGUUAAGGCCCCGUCCGUGGCAACAGCCUUGUUUGGAAGAACCAGCCAUGGAGUUGGGGGCCCAUGUGCCUCCUGAAUGACCAGCCGUGACCCUUGGGGGAGCUGAGGGAAAGCUCACCCUAUUUCUUCCUGUCUUGCCUACAAUUUAUAUUUAUUCACAUGAAAAUAAAAUAUUUUAAAAACAAGACGAAAUCAGAGAGGGAGAGAAACCAUCAGAGACUUUUAAUCCUAGGAAACAAACUGAGGAUUGUGGGAGGGGAGGUGGCGGGAUGGGCUAAUGCGGUGCUGGACAAUAAGGAAGGCGGGUGAUGUAAUGAAAUCUGGGUAUUAUAUAAGAGUGAAGAAUCACAGGCCUCUACCUCUGAAACCAAUAAUAC
rnacentral:lncRNA from 1 species